AGAUCCAAGCAUCGGUUAUAGACUCCAAUGCAAAAUAAGAGGAAAGCGAGAGCAUAAGGGGAGCAAAGACAGGGGGGGAAUUGUGGGGAAGAGAGAGAGAGAAGAAACUGAAAGAGAGAAUUUUGGGAGGCAGACAAAACUACUUUGAGAUCAGGAGGGAUGAGAGAGGAGAGAGAGAGGGGGGAGAAGGAGAGAGAUCCAAUGGGAGAGGCUAGGGAGGAGACAGAUUGGGAUGGAGGG
rnacentral:lncRNA from 1 species